GGGGCCCUUUGGGUACUGGCUGGGCUCAAGUCGAUAUCACUCUCCGCUGUUGGUCAGAAGGUCAGAAGAACCUCACAGCAAACCGAAGUUAAGACAAAGUCUGCAGGUUUAUUUGAAAGAUAAUUGGAUGGAUUCAGGAAGAGGCAUAACGUUAAAUGGCAAGGGGAACAAGCAGUGAGUGCAGAUGCCGCAACUGUGUUGGAGGAGUGACUGAGCUCAACAGCACGAGGGAGGUGAAUCAAACACGAACAGUUUAAACGACUUGAUCACUGAAGCAC